UACGGGAGGCAGCAGUGGGGAAUAUUGCACAAUGGGCGCAAGCCUGAUGCAGCCAUGCCGCGUGUAUGAAAAAGGCCUUCGGGUUGUAAAGUACUUUCAGUCGUGAGGAAGGUGUUAAGGUUAAUAACCUUAGCAAUUGACGUUAGCGACAGAAGAAGCACCGGCUAACUCCGUGCCAGCAGCCGCGGUAAUACGGAGGGUGCGAGCGUUAAUCGGAAUUACUGGGCGUAAAGGGCACGCAGGCGGUUAAUUAAGUUGGAUGUGAAAUCCCCGGGCUUAACCUGGGAAUGGCAUUCAAGACUGGUUAGCUAGAGUCUUGUAGAGGGGGUAGAAUUCCAUGUGUAGCGGUGAAAUGCGUAGAGAUGUGGAGGAAUACCGGUGGCGAAGGCGGCCCCCUGGACAAAGGACUGACGCUCAUGUGCGAAAGCGUGGGGAGCAAACAGGGAUUAGAUACC
rnacentral:rRNA from 1 species